rnacentral:tRNA from 1 species
UCCCUUGUAGCUCAGUCAGUAAAGAAUCUGCCUGUAAUGUAGGAGACCCAGGUUCAAUUCCUGGGUGGGAA